rnacentral:misc_RNA from 1 species
UCUCCGUUGGUGAACCAGCGGAGGGAUCAUUAUCGAGUUUAUAACUCCCAAACCCUAUGUGAACUUACCACUUGUUGCUUCGGCGCGCGCUUCGGCGCCGCCGAGGACACUUAAACUCUUUGUUUUUGUAAGCAUUUCUGAGUGGCCGAAAGGCAAAAUACAAAUGAAUCAAAACUUUCAACAACGGAUCUCUUGGUUCUG